UCCAUAUCACAUUGAAACACCAGUUCCCUUAUGAUUACUGAAGUUAAGCAACGUCGAGCCUGGUUAGUAACUAGAUGGGUAACCGCUUGGGAAUACCAGGUGCU